GGCUACAGUCCUUCUCAUGUGACUCGUGGACUUCCCUUUGUCAUCCUAUGCCUGAGAAUAUAUGAAGGAGGCUGGGAAGGCAAAGGGACGUUCAAUUGUCAUCACUGGC
ensembl:miRNA MIR204 microRNA mir-204